rnacentral:lncRNA from 1 species
GGUCUAACUGGGGAGGGCACUGGGAUUCACCCCUCUAGCCCACUGAGGUAGCCUCCAAAGCCCUGAAGAAGCCAAUAACUCGUAUGUUGAACAUCUCCCUUGCAGCCACAAACACUUGUUUAGACAAACAAGGGGUGUUGAAAUGGAAGCUGAUGUUCAGCAGGCUUGGCUCCUGUCACCCUCAGGCAUGGGCAAGUCCUGCCAGAAGCGCCCCACCAGCACCAAGUCCUGCCAGAAGCGCCCCACCAGCACCGUUGGCUAUCUGGUGGCAGCUUCUCCUUGCAGGGCUGAGAGCAGCAGGGCUUGGAAAAGCCACGUACAGCCAGGCAGCAUGGCCUGGGGGAAGCUGCAGGGGACAAGGCAGGAGUGCUGGUGUCCCUUUCCUGCCAGUAAAUUAUUACCUGUAUGCAUUAUCUGGGCUCUUUCCACAGUUCUUCCUCCAAAACGCUGACUUGCUGCAGGAGUUGGUGUCACCUCCCAUAAAGAAAUGUCCGGGGACCAGCUGCCCUCCCAAGCUCAGCAUUCAGAUCAGCGAUGCUGAUCUCCAGCAUAGAGCUGAGGAUGCCCUUGUUGGCUGCUCGCAGGCACAAGUCACAGCCCCCGCUCUAGAUCGAAGCCUUCAGCUAUGACAGGGUCCUGGCCCCGUGUCUGCCAGCAACAGCAGAGGAAGGAAAGAAGCCAUGGGGCCGGCCAGGCCCCUCCAUCGCUCCCCAGCACCUCCUGCCCUCCCUAAGCACAGCCCUUCCCCGCCUGCUGCAGGAGGAAUUGAGAGCCUGGGCUGCCUCUGCCCCCUGGGAAAUCAGUCUGGUUUAACAAAUGACAUCAGGAGGAAGGGUUUGUCUGCCUCACCUGCGUUUGCCUUCCAAAAUUCCUAUUGUUACUACUCCCAGCUGCAAGACACUGAACCAGGCUGAGCGCUGCCUUCUCCCCGGGGACUGCUCCCUGCAGAUGGCAAUAUCACCCUUCCUCAGCGGAGCUAUACACGCUCAGUCCUUUUCAUUCCAAGUCCUUCCAGCCUCCCUCCCUUUCAUUGCUCUCGAGCUCGGCAUCAGGCUGGGAUGGAAACAUGCACACAAGGUACCCGGAGAACACACUGCCGGGCACUGCUGACACUGGGAUGGGUUUCCCUUUGGUCUUAUUCUGUGUUUCAGAAGGACUUGUUCAUUUCACUCUAUACUUAAGUAAAAUAAAAAAUAAUAAGUUUUGAAUAUUUUACCUGAUUGUUUUCAUGUUCAAGACGAAGAGGGUGGCUUUGUGGUUAAACCCUGCACCCCUGCCUGUAAAGAUAAAAGUGCUCAUGGCUGUGCAAUGGGUGAGUGCUCCAUGAUGCAGGCUUCGUGCCCUGGUAGGUAGGUACACAAGGUCCUGGCAAGAUCUAUCUGGUGUGAGUACAAAGGACCAGCAACAAGGCAACAUCGUGCAGGCUGCUGAAAAAGGGGAUAAAGGCCCUCACCAAAUGGUUAAACUGGAAGUUUCUAACAAAAAUCAACGGCUCAAUGACAUACUGGCCCACAGCUGUUUUAUUUAAAGUUUCAUUGAUCUUACUCUGUUGGGAACUUAUAAUGAAUACCAGAUCCCACAUCCCUAAUAUUUUCUAUGGAGUCAGGCAGAGGGAAAACACUUAAAACAAGGCAAGCUUUCUUUACGAAGCAGGGGAGGGAGG